ACCCGGCGCCGUCCGGGACCGGCCAGCGGGGCUGGUCGUCGGCCGCUGGAGGCUUUGUUCAGGACGAGGAAAGAAGUCCUGGCGCCGGGCGGCCACCGGGCCGGGGCCGCCUCUGAGACGCCCACCUGGCGGGCUGUGUCCGCGGCCCGGCGGUGUCUCCUAGCUCCUCCACCACUCAUCCCUGACAAUGAGCGGACAACUCGUGGCUUCUGUGCGCGCAGCGCCUGCUCCGUUACCGCAGCUCCUCCCCUGGUUCCUGAAAUAGCUCCAAAGCAAUACAGGUGGAAGAAGAGUCUGUUGUUAUUGCUCACCAGCCCCUUUCAACUGCACCUGUGAAGGAGGUGACUUUUGGAAAGCACCUAGAGUGAAUCUAGAUGUUUAAGAGAAGCAAAUGUGAACCUGUCUUCUGACCUUUGUGAGACCUCAAGUAGGUGAAAAGAAGUACUGAAGGUCACUAACAGGGAGUUGGAUGUAUCUGGACUUUAACCCGCAAUUGCCUGUUUUAUAACAGAACGAACAUUUCUGGACAAAAUCACCGUCCUGAACUUUGCAGUUGUUGGCUCCGAGGGAACCCUCUAAACAAAUGUGCACCUGGCUCUGCUCUCUGCUUAUGGCUUGGGAAAGCAGUAGAAGAUGGUCCAACUGCUGGGCCCCUGCAUUCAAGUGGGAGACUUGGAAGAAGCUCCUGACUCUGGCUUUGGAUAGGCUCAGCUCCAGCCAUUGUGGCCAUUUGGGGAGUAAACCAGCGGAUGGAUGACCUUUCUCUCUGUCUCUCCCUCUCUAUGUAAUUCUGCCUCUAAAAUAAAUAAAUGGUAUCUUAAAAAAAAAAAAAGACAUAAAGCUAU